GUGCCAGCAGCCGCGGUAAUACGGAGGAUGCAAGCGUUAUCCGGAAUGAUUGGGCGUAAAGCGUCCGCAGGUGGCCAUGUAAGUCUGCUGUUAAAGAGUCAUGCUCAACAUGAUAAAAGCAGUGGAAACUACACGGCUAGAGUACGUUCGGGGCAGAGGGAAUUCCUGGUGUAGCGGUGAAAUGCGUAGAUAUCAGGAAGAACACCGGUGGCGAAAGCGCUCUGCUAGGCCGUAACUGACACUGAGGGACGAAAGCUAGGGGAGCGAAUGGGAUUAGAUACCCGCGUAGUCC
rnacentral:rRNA from 1 species